CACACUUUGAUUUACUGAUUUACUAAUAUUUAUUUGCAGGUUUAGUUGCUUUUGUCUCCAUGUUGUCCAAGGGUUAUGUCGGCCGUGAUCCUAAUAAUAUCAUGGGUUUAGCAGAGUUGUUUAACUUGCAAACUGGAUUAAAGAUUUUGAAUAAAUUUUUGUGUUCUUAAUAUGGUCACAAGUUUGUACUUGUUUAAAACCCUCAAUCAUUUGAAAAUUAUGGCGCCGACAUGGUAGAUGUCCUAGAAAAAACUGGUAGUAACUCAAUGUAGAUACACAUAGUCGAUGGAGUUACUUGCUAAUAACUGGCAAUGAGACAUAUUUGCUUCAAAUGAUGCCUUUAAAGUUUGAAAAGAUUUUUUCUAAUUCAAAUGUCGACUUUUUGUUACAUGAAAAAAGAUACUUAUUUCAACCCCUCG
rnacentral:lncRNA from 1 species